UAGGGAAUCUUCGGCAAUGGACGAAAGUCUGACCGAGCAACGCCGCGUGAGUGAAGAAGGUUUUCGGAUCGUAAAACUCUGUUGUUAGAGAAGAACAAGGACGUUAGUAACUGAACGUCCCCUGACGGUAUCUAACCAGAAAGCCACGGAUAACUACGUGCCAGCAGCCGCGGUAAUACGUAGGUGGCAAGCGUUGUCCGGAUUUAUUGGGCGUAAAGCGAGCGCAGGCGGUUUCUUAAGUCUGAUGUGAAAGCCCCCGGCUCAACCGGGGAGGGUCAUUGGAAACUGGGAGACUUGAGUGCAGAAGAGGAGAGUGGAAUUCCAUGUGUAGCGGUGAAAUGCGUAGAUAUAUGGAGGAACACCAGUGGCGAAGGCGGCUCUCUGGUCUGUAACUGACGCUGAGGCUCGAAAGCGUGGGGAGCAAACAGG
rnacentral:rRNA from 1 species